rnacentral:lncRNA from 1 species
GAAUUGUUAGCAUUGUCAUUCUAUUUAUCUUGCUUGGCAGCACGAGAGUUGGAUCCACAGUGCAGAAAAGAAACUGGAGUUAGAAUCAUGGCAGAGACAACCGGACAGAAGACUGUGGUUUGUGCUAUGCCUGUCAAUCAGAACAACAGAUUCUGUAAAGAAAAGGCACUGGACUCAGGAAUGAGAAGGGGUUUGCAAAUCUGUGUAUGGAUGCUAUGGUGAAUCCCAUGGCCCAUAGCACUGUCUCUGACCAGUUUUCUACAAAUGUCAUGAGCUCCAAUGGAUGGACUGGGAUUUGCCUGCUCUUUCAGAAACAGAAUGACUCUUGUGCUUCCUCAUUAGCCCAUGUGCUAGUUCCUCUUCAAAAACUGCACCUCCGCCCUUGCAACGCCUAUCAUCCAUCAGGUCUUGGAUCAUUUCACUCUCUCAAAAACAUUUCCCCACCUCCUGUUCCCUUCUCCUAACUGGAUUAAGUGUCUACAAUCAACAUUCAUCACCCUGCUCUGUAAUUUCCUUCUCCUUUCUCUUUUUUUCCUACAGAUUGUGAUAAGGACUCAAAUAAGGUUCCAACAGUUCAAAUUAUACUUGUGGGAAAAUGAAAAAGUAAAACCCCUUGGACUGUGACCCUAGUUCCUCCAUAUC